GGACGUAUCCGGCUGCGAUAAGCCACGGUCAGCUGCCUAGAGAGCGUUACGAACCGUGGAUUUCCGAAUGGGGAAACCCGGCGCCUUAGCGGGCGUCACUCCGGGUGUGAACACAUAGCACCGGUAGAGGGAACCGGGGGAAUUGAAACAUCUCAGUACCCCGAGGAAAAGAAAACAAACGUGACUCCCUGAGUAGCGGCGAGCGAAAAGGGACCAGCCCAAACCCAAAUGGUGUUAAAAGCCUGGUGGCGUUGCCAUUUGGGGGUUGUGGGGACUCGAGAGCAGGCGCACCAGAACCUGCACGGAGUUACCAAGUUGAUGCGUAGUGGAAGCGCUUUGGAAAAGCGCGCCGCAGUGGGUAAUAGCCCCGUACACGAAACGUACUCAACCUCCCGCUCGAUCAUCCCAAGUAACGCCGGGACCGUGAAAACUGGCGUGAAUCUGCGAGGACCACCUCGUAAGGCUAAGUAUACGUAGACGACCGAUAGUGAACCAG
rnacentral:rRNA from 1 species